UUGCCUGCACCUGCCGGCGACCGGCGCACGGGUGAGUAACACGUAUGGAACCUGCCCGCCACAGGGGGAUAACCCGGGGAAACCCGGCCUAAUACCCCAUGCCGCCCGGACCGGGCAUCCGGUCCGGGCGAAAGGAGGAAUCCGGUGGCGGCUGGGCAUGCGGCGCAUUAGCUUGACGGCGGGGUAACGGCCCACCGUGGCGACGAUGCGUAGGGGUUCUGAGAGGAAGGCCCCCCACACUGGAACUGAGACACGGACCAGACUCCUACGGGAGGCAGCAG
rnacentral:rRNA from 1 species